CCUUACAAGGCAGUGACGGGGUGAUACUAGACUAUCUCUCUCCAUCCUCAAGGGAUUUUCAUGAAGGACAAAACCAUUUGUGUCACUUUCAAGGUCUAGUUCCUGCACGGCAGCCUCCUAUCAAAGAGCUACAAAGAAUGCAACAGAAAUGAGUGAGCAGGCAGUGACCUAUGUAGAACUGAAAUUUCAAACUCUUUCCAAGGAGCAGAAGAAAAAAACACCUAAGAACACCAGGGACAAAGAUGUUGAAAUAAAUGAGGAGGUGGUGACCUACCCAGAACUGAAAUUCCAGAAUGCUUCUGAGCAGCGGAGGAGACAAAGGACUACGAACCCCCAGGGCAAAGGUACUGUGUGCUACAUGCUGCUG